rnacentral:rRNA from 1 species
GUUGCUCCUAGUACGAGAGGACCGGAGUGAACGAACCUCUGGUGUUCGGGUUGUCACGCCAGUGGCACUGCCCGGUAGCUAAGUUCGGAAUCGAUAACCGCUGAAAGCAUCUAAGCGGGAAGCGAGCCCUGAGAUGAGUCAUCCCUGACCCCUUGAGGGUCCUAAAGGGCCGUUGGAGACCACAACGUUGAUAGGUGGGGUGUGUAAGCGUAGCGAUACGUUGAGCUAACCCAUACUAAUUACCCGUGAGGCUUAACCAU